rnacentral:rRNA from 1 species
AUGUGCUCGCGGAAGUCCUCCGCCGCGCUGGAUCGCCGCGUCCCGCCGCGCUGGAUCGCCGCCUCCCGCUGCGUCUGCACGGCCUGGCGCGACGCCAUCGAUGCGCGCGGCCUCCUGCGCGCCGACCUGCUCCCGCUCUCCCUCGCCGGCCUCUUCAUCCACUUCGACGAGCACAAGUAUCCCGAAUUCCUCGCCCGCCCCCCCUCUGCGGCUGGCGCCCCCGCCAUCACCGGCAACCUCAGCUUCCUGCCCUCCACCAGCCCCCAUUGCGGCUAUUUCUGGCAGGAAGACUGCGCUGAUUGGUGGCACUAUAACAUCGAUGAUCACUGCAACGGGCUCCUCUUGCUUCGCAGUAACCGGGUGGUUAACCCUGCCACCCGAUGCUGGAGUGCUUUGCCACCGCGCCCUGCCAAAGAUGCCACAGGUAACGUGUCAUACCGUGGGCAUCUGAUCUAUGAUCCGAUGAUAUCACCGUACUAUGAGGUGUUUAUGACCCCCCGUUUGGAUGACUAUCAUUCUGGAGAUGAGGUAGACCCCUCGAUGGAGGAAUCUGAAUGGCCACCAUCCCCAUGCAAGAUGUAUGUAUUCUCAUCAAAGUCUGGUCGUUGGGAGGAGAAAUAUUUCUUCCGAGAAGGGGGAGCUACAGUGAUUGUCAGUGAAAUGCGAGUGGGUUACGGGCGAUCCAACGGCGUCUAUUAUCGGGGAGCACUUUAUGUACACUGUAGAGCUGAUUUAAUUAUGAGAAUAUCAUUGUCUGAUAAUACGUACAGUGUAAUUAAACCACCUGUCAUUGAUACCAGAGCACACGACCAUCCAUAUGUCGAGAUUGUAAGAUCAAAAAAGGGGGUGUACUUUGUGGCAUUUGAUAUGUACUGGCCUCAGUGUAAGUGUUGGCUUGGAGUUUGGAUCCCCAAUGAAUCAUGUGGUCAGAUGGAGUGGAUGUUGAAGCAUGACAAAGACCUUAAGCAUGCGCUAGCACAUCACCGGUAUUGUGGACGACUUCACUGGAUCUUAGAAGAUAUUAACUACAACCUGUUUUGUUCUUCUAGUUUCCUAGAAGGCAACAAGAAAGCAACCACUGAAGAGAAUUUUGAAUGGAACUCUGACGAUGAUAUUGAAAACAAAGACUUGGUUAAGCCUUGUUGUUUAGAAGACAAUAAGAAAUCAAUAGUUGAAAAUAAAUUGGAUUGGAAGCCCGACAAUCAUAAUGCUCUUAAUGAUGACGCUAUGGUUGAAGAGUGUUACUGGGAUGAAGAGCGUUGUGAUGAUUCAUAUGAUCAAGACAUUGAGAUACUUGGGUUUCACCCAUAUAAAGAGAUUGUCUACUUGAGUGCAUCACAGCAUACAGCACUGGCAUAUAAUUUGAAUGGCUCAAAGAUUGAAGAAUUAGGAAACAGAUACCCAGAAGAGUAUCUAUAUUUCAAAGAGUUGGGUAAUGAGCGGGAGAGGAUCAAAUCUUUUCCAUACACCCCAUGUUGGAUUGAAGAGUUCCCUGGGAACAACUAG